GACGAACUGUACGAACGUUAUUCGGAAUCACUGGGCUUAAAGGGUGCGUAGGCUGCGCAGCAAGUUGGGUGUGAAAUCCCUCGGCUUAACCGAGGAACUGCGCCCAAAACUGCUGUGCUCGAGGGAGAUAGAGGUGAGCGGAACUUAGGGUGGAGCGGUGAAAUGCGUUGAUAUCCUAAGGAACACCGGUGGCGAAAGCGGCUCACUGGAUCUCUUCUGACGCUGAGGCACGAAAGCUAGGGUAGCGAACGGG
rnacentral:rRNA from 1 species